UCUAGCUAGGUUCUAGAACCUUCCAUUCUCCUGCCUUCCACUCCGCCGUCGCAAAACAAACUCUCGCUCGCGGCGUACGUCGAGGCCCCUUCUAGAACCUUCCAGGCCAGGGCUUGGUCGGCACUGCAGGCAGGCCGCCCUCGAUCGACAGCGAACCUCCGCCUCCCCAACUGAGGUGUUGUGGCCAAUGGCGUCAAUGGAGUGGGGAAACCAAGCAAGGGACCAACCACUCAAGGAGUCAGUUGGAUGCCUAUACUGAUAGGCAUUUAGAAGGAAAUUAGUUAUGACUGGCUGGGUGUGCAAGGGUUAAUUCAUUGGAUGCAGUAUCCAAAUAUAGCAGUCAUCAAGAAGGAGGGUGGUUAGGGAUGCGCUGAAUGGUGCGUGGCUGCUGGAUGUGGGGCCCAACUUGUCAGCCCAGGCGAUCGGCGAGUUUCUUGUGCUCUGGGAGUGGAUCCGCGAUGUCCAGCUGGUGGAUGAGGUUCCCGACUCCUUGUCCUGGAAUUGGUCCACCGAUGGGCGAUAUUCUGCCAAGUCGGCCUAUGCGAAUCUCUUUGCCGGCAUGACGCGUGAUCCUAUGGCAUCAGUGGUUUGGGGCUCUCGGGCGCCUGGGCGGUGCCGCUUCUUCGCGUGGCUAGCGGUUCGCAACCGUUGUUGGACGGCAUAUCGGCUGGAGAAGCGUGGCCUCCCGCGGCCCGACAAGUGCCCUCUUUGCGACCAGGAGAGGGAAUGUAUUUCUCACUUGCUGGUGGGCUGCGUGGUCUCUAGGAAGGUUUGGCUGAAGGUGCUCACCCUGGUGGGUCAUGGUGAUUGGUGUCCGAGCGCCAAAGCGGACCUGCGUGGACGGUGGUCCUCUCUUCCCUCCUCUCGGGGUGACGAAAAGACGCCUUGACGAUAGUUACCUUGGUCUUCUGGACCAUCUGGUGCCAUCGAAAUGACGUGGUUUUCAACGGGGCGACUUCGUCGGCGUUGCGGAUCUUCGAGAGGGUGAGAGAGGAGCUGAGUCGUUGGUUUCAAGCGGGGCUCUUCAGGAGUGGUACCCUCGUUCCGGCCCAUGUGGCGAGUAGGUGGAUUGUUAGCUUGUGAUCUUUUUUUUUGGUUGCCACUUUGUGGCGUUGUUUGCCUCUAUGGCGUGCGUUGUACUCAGCCUUCUGGCUCUUCUUUUUUA